CAGUGAUGUUCACGGCAACUGAGCAGCAAUUACCUCUCGAAUCUUACGAAGAAUUUAAACACAUGAUUACAAAAAAAGGAAAUACCGCAGCAAUUAAUAAAACGAGAGAAAAAGGCUGGCAGGAAAUUGCUGAUCGUCUCAAUGCCAGCAAAUUAAGUGAAGAAAAAAGAACAUGGCAGCAGGUGAAAAUAAAAUAUAAAAAUAUUGUUCAGAAUGCUGCCAAAAAGAAGAGUGAGGUUGCUGGCACUGGGGGAGGGCCACCAACAGCCAACUUUACUCCUGCAGAGGAGCUGGCAUUAGACCUGAAUAAAGGGAGGCCUGUCAUUGAGGGAAUAGAGGGGGAACAGCAUCUGGAUCCAUUCCAUCCAUGAUGCCAAAUUCUGUGUGCUUUCUGGAUCCACCAGACAUCAUGCUGAACCCUGUUGAAGGCCCAUCUACAGUUGAGGAGGAUGAGGAGACUGUGUCAGUAUGUUCAAGGAGGCCUGAGGAUGCUGACACCCUUCUAGAGCCCUCUCAGUCUGGGACCACAUGUGACCAAGUGAGUAUUAAAAAAUUACAAACAAAGUGCCAAGAGCACUAGAUCAAAUUGAAAAAAACUUAAAUUUCUGUUCCUACAAAACCCAGAACAUAAAGGGAGUCUACAAAAGGUAUCUCCUGAAACAAAUGGAGGCCAUAGAUACUGACAUCCAAUAUAAAAAAACUCAAGAUGAGAAAGUUGGAGCUGGAAAUCCAACAGCUUGAGAAAAAUGCAAGUAGAACUGCCAUAUUUAAAACAAUGACACAUGACCUUUUU